rnacentral:rRNA from 1 species
AGCAGCCGCGGUAAUUCCAGCUCCAAUAGCGUAUAUUAAAGUUGUUGCAGUUAAAAAGCUCGUAGUUGAAUUUCGGGAUCAAUACGUCGGUCGUGCUUCGGUACGUACUGGCGUCAUUGAUUUCUCCCUUCUGACGAACCAUGAUGUCAUUAACUUGGUGUCAUGGGAAAUCAGGACUGUUACUUUGAAAAAAUUAGAGUGUUUAAAGCAAGCUAACGCUUGAAUACAUUAGCAUGGAAUAAUGAAAUAGGACGUUCGAUCCUAUUUUGUUGGUUUCUAGGAUUGACGUAAUGAUUAAUAGGGAUAGUUGGGGGCAUUAGUAUUCAAUUGUCAGAGGUGAAAUUCUUGGAUUUAUUGAAGACUAACUACUGCGAAAGCAUUUGCCAAGGAUGUUUUCAUUAAUCAAGAACGAAAGUUAAGGGAUCGAAGACGAUCAGAUACCGUCGUAGU